AACGAACGCUGGCGGCAGGCUUAACACAUGCAAGUCGAACGCCCCGCCAGGGGAGUGGCAGACGGGUGAGUAACGCGUGGGAACAUACCCUUUUCUACGGAAUAGCUCUGGGAAACUGGAAUUAAUACCGUAUACGCCCUACGGGGGAAAGAUUUAUCGGGGAAGGAUUGGCCCGCGUUGGAUUAGCUAGUUGGUGGGGUAAAGGCCUACCAAGGCGACGAUCCAUAGCUGGUCUGAGAGGAUGAUCAGCCACAUUGGGACUGAGACACGGCCCAAACUCCUACGGGAGGCAGCAGUGGGGAAUAUUGGACAAUGGGCGCAAGCCUGAUCCAGCCAUGCCGCGUGAGUGAUGAAGGCCUUAGGGUUGUAAAGCUCUUUCAACGAUGAAGAUAAUGACGGUAGUCGGAGAAGAAGCCCCGGCUAACUUCGUG
rnacentral:rRNA from 1 species